CUCCCCCCCCCCUCUCUGUCUCUCUCUCUCUCUAAUCUUUUCUCUUUAAAGCCAAUCUUUGGUCUUUACUUGUUCUUUGUCAGUCCAAAUAAAUUCUUGAUUCUUUCUUGGUUUCUUCUUUCUCUACCCGGAGAAUCGGUAUCAUUCUCUACUUAUAUGUAGUUGUAGAGCGUAAUUGUGACGGAGAAGAGCAGAAUGGAACAGAGAAGUAGCCCCUCCUACCGACCCAAGUUCACUAGGAAUGAUGAGAUUGAAGUCGCGGCAGUCUUGCUUAUGCUUCCUAGUUUAAUCGCUGAUGGCCUUCGAUUUUCAUUAUCUUGGGGUUCUAAAAAGCGGAGAUCUUGUUCCUAUGAGACCUCGUUUCAGAGCCGGGUUCAUUUACAAUCACCACCGCCCGUCCCUUCACUUCAUGGGAUUGGUUUUCUUCUGGGCUCUGCCUUUGACCCCGAGAAGGCUGCCGUCAAAGUCGAGGCUUCGAGUCCUGCCACGCCUCUCUCCUUCUGUCCCAGUGAAUCUGAUGAGAAGCCUAAGCGUUUGAAAAGAAAAGCCUCUGUUAAGAAGGUUUCCCCCUUGUGUCUGAGAUUUUUCUUUUCUUCCAAGAAUUCACUGUAUCUCCAUUGCUUACCGAUCUGUGGUUUGUGGAUUAUCUUGCAGACGAAAGAGGAGUGGCUAGAAAUUAUGGAGCAAUACACUCAGAGCAACGAGUUACUUAUAAAGGAGAUAAAGCAGUUGAGGCAUUAUUACGAGGAGCUGAAAGCAAGCAAUUUGUGGCUGCAAGCAAAGAAACAAGAGCUGAGUCUUGGCAAUGUUAGAGGAGAAAAGCCGCACUUGGAACUGAAAACCAGCUUAAAUCUUCUCGAGGUGAAACUUGGGCAAUCCACAGUGAAAGCAUCUACUGUAGUUGGAUACGAAGGUCAUCAUCUACAUUUGGUGGUUGAUCAGCGAUCUUUGAUCAUGGAUAAGACUGCUAAUAAAGCUGGAACAGCUGAGAGUUAUCCAUUCCCGUAUGAUCAAGCACUGUCAUUGUUCCCAUCAAGAAGCGGAUUGAGCAUGAGCAUGAUCAAAGGCGAUGUGGGCCCAAAUGGUAUCCCUGAUCUCAACGUAUCUCCAAUAGAGUCUGUCGACUUUGCUCAGCUAGUUGACGGCAGCAGGACUCUAACCAAGGCAAUGGCUGCGCAGGCUAGGCAGAGAAGGAUGCAAAUUUGCAGGGACAAGAACUCCAAUUAUGGUAGUAAGCUACGUCUCUCACAUAGAUGAUAAUUUUUGGGUUUUCUUUUAACUAUUAUAGUCGUAAUCGUCAACUACGUCUCUCACAUAGAUGAUAUUUUUGGGUUUUUUUUUUAAUUAAAUAUUAUCCCAAUAUAUAUUUCUACGAUUGUAAACUCUAGUCAGGAGAUUUUGGGCUAUUAAUUCUCCAAUAUUUGAUAUGAAAGAAUCAAAUAUGUCGGAAAUCUCGGCGUCUGUCUUCUCUAGAUCCUAGUAUUUGUGUAGAAAUAGGAAUCAGUAAUAGAAAUAGAUCCAAUUUGUGUUGGAGUUGUUUGUUUGGUCAGUUUGGUUUGAUUCACUUAUUCAGGAGUAGAUUUUAUUCUCUCUGGUACAUUUACGAGGCCACGUAUCAUAUGAGAAAGGCGUUUACGUGAUGCAAUCGUAGCCAAAAAAGCUAAUUCUGGCAAGUUUAACAUGUGGUGCGGCCUUAUUGAGCCUCUUGUUAUUACCAAGCAUACGCCUAACUUUGACGCUGCCCAGCUCCAUUGGCUUUACCUUUAUGGCCCCCAUUCCUCGUGGGUCGCAAUUGAAAUUGUCAUUUUUUGCCAAUCAGACGAAACAAAAAAUCAAGUUGAUUCAACGUAAACAGAACGGGUCAAUUUGAUACACAGCGGACGCUUAGUACUCACGGCUGUGUAAGAAAACAAAUUUGCGUCACUGCAAACAGAACGCGUCUAUUUAAUACACAGCGGACGCCUAGUACUCACGGCUGUGUCCGAUUUCAGAGUCCAAAUUGAAUGUAAAUUUUUUUUUUUCCAUGGGAAUGUAAAAAUUGAGCUAUAUUAAAU
rnacentral:misc_RNA from 1 species